UUUAUUUGCAAUCGGCGCUCAAUGUGUUUUCUUAUAUCGGUGGCGUCAAUGUUAGCCUCCCAUCCGACCCGUCUUGAAACACGGACCAAGGAGUUCAGUAGGCACGCGAGUCGUUGACGUUUUUCAUUGAACAGUCGAAGGCGAAAUGAAAGUGUUAAUGAAAAUGAACUGUACUUCUUUAUGGAGUGCUGUUCAAUUUUUCAACAUGAUCGUCCUUUUUUGUGCUUAAUUGUGCAAAAUAAUAGAUGUAUGGGGACGCGCAGUGUGGUGCCGUUGAAUAGUCGCACUGUUCUCUCUUUCUCUUCGGGGUUGGAGGAACAAUUGUCGAUCAGUCGGUUUCGGAGCGUGCACACUGGUACCCGAAAGAUGGUGAACUAUGCUUGAGCAGAAUGAAGCCAGAGGAAACUCUGGUGGAAGUUCGUAGCGGUGUUGACGUGCAAAUCACUCGUCUGACUUGAGUGUAGGGGCGAAAGACUAAUCGAACCAUCUAGUUGCUGGUUCCUUCCGAAGUUUCCCUCAGGAUAGCUGGCAUUUGUUUGUAACAAUUUUAUCCGGUAGAGCGAAUGAUUAGAGGUGUUGGGAACGCAAUGUUCUCAGCCUAUUCUCAAACUUCGAAUGGGUAAGCAAGGCGUUUUGCUUUGAUUUUACGAUGAAAUCGCCCAAUUAGAAUGUAUAAAUGCUAGUGGGCCAAUUUUGGUAGCAGAACUGGCGAUGUGGAAUGACCAAAGUCAGUAGGGGCAGACUUGCGCUCAUGA
rnacentral:ncRNA from 1 species